rnacentral:misc_RNA from 1 species
CAGGACUGGAACUCCAACAUGU